rnacentral:rRNA from 1 species
UACGAAGGGGGCUAGCGUUGUUCGGAAUUACUGGGCGUAAAGCGCGCGUAGGCGGCUCUUCAAGUCAGGCGUGAAAGCCCCGGGCUUAACUCGGGAACUGCGCUUGAUACUGUCGAGCUAGAGUGUGGAAGGGGCGAUUGGAAUUCCGUGUGUAGCGGUGAAAUGCGUAGAUAUACGGAGGAACACCAGGGGCGAAGGCGGAUCGCUGGGCCAACACUGACGCUGAUGCGCGAAAGCUAGGGGAGCAAACGGG